AAGUUCAAAAAGACCUAUUCUGGUGUGUUCAAUCCAAUGACAUCAAAGCAGUUUUGGCCACGUGUCGAUCCUGGUUAUAAAAUCAAGAAGCCAAUAUUGAGAAGAAAGCCUGGGAGACCAAGGAAAUCUAGGAUCAAGGCAUCAGAUGAACCGGGCAGCACAAAGCAAAAGAGGUGCCCAGAAUGACAUGAACUAGGCCAUACAGCUAAGAAGUGCCAAGGAGGUCUUACUGCUAGACAGAAGAGGAGCCGCUUGUCUUCUGACAAUGCAUUAGAGGAGGGAAGCAAUGAUCCUAGUGCUACACUUCCAUCAUCAUCACGGCACAUGGGGAGAGGUAGAGGUAGAGCUACGAGGUCAUCAUCUAUUGAAUCAUCCAACGCUAGUACAAGUCACAUUGAAGGAGAAGCACCACCAACAGGAAGGGGUAGAGAAAGAGGAAGAGGAAGGGGAAGAGGAAGAGGUGUUUCAAGGCUUGCUGCAUACUUCAACGCUUAGAAAAUGAUGUUUAGGUGCUUAAUUGUGGCCUAGGAUUGUACUGCAUUAUUUUGGAGUGCUCAAAUGUGAUCUGGCCAUGUUUUCUCUUGUUUUGGGGUGCUCAUGUGAUCUGGACAUGUACUCACUCAUGUGAUCUGCUUAAAAUGUUGGUGACAUGUAUGUUCUAGGUUGCAUAUGGCUUAGACAUGCAAUCUGGAUAUGAAAUUUAAUCAGUCCCUAGUGUAUUCUGUGACAAAAUAUUAUGUUUCAAUGUGAUCGUGAUAUUUGAACUUGUAUGCUUA